UACUGGCAAUUGAGGAGUAAGUAAUAGC
rnacentral:piRNA from 1 species